rnacentral:sRNA from 1 species
AGCCAACGCGGAGAUGUCUUGAUCUUCCCACCUUUGCGUCAAUUUCAAACAGUUGGAAAUACUGGCCGGAAUACAGGGUGCGACUUCUCUGUUUCAGUAACUUACCUCCACCUCGACUCAAGGUGUAAAAUUUCAUGUCAGCAAGACCUCGGUCUUUGCCUGUUCUUAAAUACUCAGGCAUGAUGAUUGAGCCCUGAAUGAAGAAAUCUACAGUUUAGACACCUGCAGAGGUCAAGGAAUUGACGAAACGGGCAACUUCGAAAUCUUGACAAAUAGUAACUUCUGACCUAGAGGGGUAAAGUAUCCGAAGUCGACCAGGAUCUCAUUGCGAUUUUGCAGUAUCUCCUGCGUAGCAGCCGGGAUGGUGCGUUAGCUCAACUGAGUUCAAGAAAGGUUGUUCGAGCUUUCAUUCUGGCUAAACAACAUCGAUGUCAGGCUGGGGGGGAUCAAAGGGAAUCACGACAAUGGCUCAAAAACAUCACCUUGUUCACACCGUCCACAUCUGUGACUCAUAUUUACGAAUCUCCUUGCACCAGCUAGAAUGAGCUCAAGAGCCACGAGGGACUAGAUCGCGCCUCCAUCAAGCUUAUGGAGUUCAUCUGGCAAAUGGGCG